GACGGAAGGAUGAGUUAAGUUGAAUAUUGAUAGCUCACUCAUAUGUCUCUUACCUCGGACAGGUUGACUGGUUUCUCAAUGGAAGUAGGUGAGUCGGAUGUUGUCCAAGUUGAGGCGAGGGCCAUUUAUGAGGGUCUUAUGUUUGCCUGGAGCAGAGGUUUUCGCCAGGUCAAGGUUGAAACUGAUAAUGUUAUCUUCUUAGUGGAUUCGACUUUCCUUUGUCUUUGUUUCUUUCUAAAAAACAAAUUGUAAUAGGUUGGAUGAAUAUUGGAUUUGGA
rnacentral:lncRNA from 1 species